GACGAACGCUGGCGGCGUGCUUAACACAUGCAAGUCGAACGGUAAGGCCCUUCGGGGUACACGAGUGGCGAACGGGUGAGUAACACGUGGGUGAUCUGCCCUGCACUUCGGGAUAAGCCUGGGAAACUGGGUCUAAUACCGGAUAGGACUCCGGACUGCAUGGUCUGGGGUGGAAAGCUUUUGCGGUGUGGGAUGGGCCCGCGGCCUAUCAGCUUGUUGGUGGGGUGAUGGCCUACCAAGGCGACGACGGGUAGCCGGCCUGGGAGGGUGACCGGCCACACUGGGACUGAGAUACGGCCCAGACUCCUACGGGAGGCAGCAGUGGGGAAUAUUACACAAUGGGCGCAAGCCUGAUGCAGCGACGCCGCGUGAGGGGUGACGGCCUUCGGGUUGUAAACCUCUUUCAGCAUCGACGAAGCGAAAGUGACGGUAGGUGCAGAAGAAGGACCGGCCAACUACGUGCCAGCCGCCGCCGUAA
rnacentral:rRNA from 1 species